ensembl:lncRNA
GUGUAGACACGUUAAAAGAAUCAGCAUCCAUAAAUGAUGUGUAGGGAUUGACUUCAUUUUUGUAUAACUUUGUGAUAACAUUAAACGGAUACUUCAUGAUUAAGUAAUUUCCUGCUUAUCCAGAGUCGACUAACACAUGGAUACUACUUCGUACUUUUAAUAACAUGUCUAAAAUAUUCAUUAGUGUGCAUGGCUUUGUAAGGCCAUUAAUGAUCAACCACCCAUCUUUGGAGUAGUUAGAAGCUUUAUUACACAGCUUUUGAGAGGAGCUGGCUAGUACCCACCAAAGACUUCCAGCAUUGCACCAAGCUAACCAUAUGCUUCAGUACCUUCAACUUCUUUUAAUCUGCACGCAGAGACAUACAAAUGGUAUCCAUUAGGAAAUUAGCCAAAAUCCUGAAGUACCCCUUUAAAGUCCAAUCAUCAACAAGCUCAGCAAUCCUGAAGCCAAUUUCUUUCUUAAAGAUAAAUCCAGUUGGGGAAUGGCAUAGGUACUAGCUGUACAUACCAAUAUUAAGGCAUACAAUAAAAAGGGAUAAAAAAAAAAAAUGCAAUUAUUUUGAGUGUAACUGUGUUCGUUUUCAGAUGAAAAACACACCAUUUGGGCAUAGUCUUAUCUUUUGGAAUGCAGUUUAACACUCCAGUCUUUUACCAUGUAAAUGUUUUCUGGCUGAAUAUUCUAAGAACUCCUUUUUUUUUUUUUAAAGACCAUUAUUAUAUGUUUUGUUGAAGGUUCCGUUUUUUUCUCUAAGCCUUUAUUUCCAUUUUAUUUUUUUUUGUCAAUUUGUUGACUUUUUCCAUUUUGACAGUAAUAACCAGCCUCCAUUUGAUUUGUCAGCCAGCGAUGUUGAGAAAAAGGCAGAGGAACGUGUUCAUCAUACUUUCCACUCGAGAAAAAAUAAAAAGAGGAACUCCCACCGCUUCUUUUCUUCUUUUGUUUUGCACCCAACUGAACCUGCCCUGCUGACAGGGCCAAUCAUAGCGUGAGAUGGCCUCUCAGCAAUCGUUGUGUAGCCAACCAGUAGCCACCAAUCACGAGCACAAGGUCCCAGUUCCCACACCUGAUGAAGGGCCACAACACCUUAUUUCCACAAGUGCAGUAUAAAGUACAAAGACUUCUUGCUCUGCUACAUAUCAUGAAAGAAGGGUGGUCCCUUGAAUCUGCUGGAAGAAUAGCUGGAGAAGAUUGAGUUACUAAGGAGGAGAAGGAACCCGGAGAUUCUUUUUUUCUUUUUCCUUUUUUUUUUUUUUUUUGCAAAUGCCUCUUUUUCCCCGUUUUGCUUUGGUGUCUGUAGAAGAGGAUUUUUGCGGAGACCAACUUUUUUGCUGCUGUUUUUUAGACAAGAUGGAAAACCUUUAUAGACACAUAAUGCUCAUAGCAUGCAUACUAACACACGUAUACAUUUAGAGCUUACAAAACACAUAUGCAUACAUAUGGACCAAUAGACACACACAGGUAUUCUCUACUAUCACAGUGUACAUAUGCCAACUCAAACACACUCUUGCGCAAACAAAAACAAACACACACACACACACCAGCCUGCUACCAUUUUGGUUUUUGUGCCUACACAGGUGUGUUGCUCUGUGACAGGGCGAGCUCUGGCGAAAAGAAGACAAGAAGAGGAGAAUCCAGGAUAAUUUACAUGCAUCAUUCCUUAGGAAAUAGGGACCAAAGGACUAAACGCUUUUUAAAAGAAUAUAAAUAUAUAAAUAUAUAUAUAUAUUUAAAAAAAAACUCUUACCUUGUAGCUGCAAGUAUUACAAUUUAUUAGUAGUCAAAAGAAAUCAUUAAAUCAAUAUCCAGUGGCCUAAGUAAGAACAAAAAGGAAAUAAUGUAUACAUUGGAAAAAGAUGAGGAAACCUAGUAAAUGGAUGGUUAUUAUGUACUGGUUGCUGUUUGGCUGCCAGUUAUAGCUUAGAACAUGUAGAAUACUAGAAAAGUAGAUUUGCUAAUUUCUGCUGUUGUUUUUUAAAGAAAAAAAAAUACUUGAACUUGUAAAGUAAGGGGGGAGGGAUGAAAAGAGAAAAAAUAUGAAUUUUGUCUGUCCUGCGCCAGUGGGCUUCGGAACAUUGCAGUUUCUGUGUUGGACGUUACAGUCGGGCCACUGGAUAUCUCAGUCAUCGUGGUGUACAGUACAAUUCACAGCACUAUCUGACGGCUGUAAAGGAACUGUUCUGGAGGACAGAGACGGCAGGAGAAGAGGAAACACUGAUGGACCUUCCCGGUGUCUGUGCUGGACAGGGUGUGAGGCUUACUCUCCAUGAGCCUUUGUGUUCACGCGACAAUCCACUGUAAAGACCAAGCAAAAUCAGACAUGGUGUGUUUUCUUUCAAGCUUUUGUAUUACGACAGGGAGUGUGCUAUUAUGAAACUUAUUUAAAUAAAUCUAUAAAGAGACCAGCUUCUGCAAAGGAGACAGAAAAAAAAUGACAAAAAAUGAAGGCAAGCAGAGAAGAGGAGUGAGUUGAUAGCUACUGAAACUGCCAAAAGGGUGGACUCAACCGUAUCACAAUGAAUUGGCUCUCAUGACAUUUGAGACCCCUGACUAUGUAAAAAAAAAAAAAAUAGACCCAUUAAAAUGAACCACGUUCUAGGCAAAAGGGAGGAAGAAAAAGAGAGGGCAGGGAUAUUCAUGUGCGCUGAAGCAAUUGGAAAGUUGGUAUGAUAUUGAGAAACAUCGCCUCCUGUCUCCCCGGCUGCAGAAUAGAUACAAGCAGAACUUGUUCUGAAAAGACAAACUAUAUUGAUUGAUGUCAAAAGCUUUUAGAGCUCAUUUAGCUUUGUCGUAUAUGAUGUAAAUGCCACUGUUAAUAUGUUCCCUUCCUGACCUGAUUUGUUCAUAUAUUAUACAGUAUAUUGAGCCUGUGGAAAAACCUAACAACCCGUCUCAACCUGACCUAACAGUCUGAAUUACAGCCGUCCAGCAGCCAUCAUUCAGCUCCUCCCUGCCAAUCCAUGCCAGGCAGAAAACACAUCCUUUAUUUUGACAAUUCUACAGUGGUGGAUGGAGCCGGCCCCUCCAUGAACAACGGAUCAAUACGUUCGCAACGAGUCUCCAGGAGCAAGUCAUAUUCUGCCCCCAUGUGAUUAAGUUCUCUCAUUAGAACACUAGCCCCCACUCCCUCAGAGCUGCCUUGAAGAAUGGUGAGCAGGGGGCAGAGGUGGACGGUGGUUGGGAUGGGGGUAGGAAAAUCAACAGCCAAGCCCUGGCCCCCUGAGUACCACUGCGCACGACGCCAGCGUGUCCAACCUCGCCUUUUCCUGUAUCCUUUUUUUGCGGUGAUCCUGGGACUUUUCCCCCCGGGGACCAAAUCCAUUCGAGCAGAAGUCGCAGAAACCGACGACACCCAUCCGCACCCACACACCCUGGCCCGACACCACGGAUGUCUCUGUGUCCUAGCUCUUGGCAUGUAUAAGGCACCUGCCGCCUUCUGUGCAGCCUGCCUCUGUUUACCUCUGGGACUCGCUCUCCAAAGUGGAGCGGACGCAUUCCAAGUCACUGCAGCAUUGACUGACCGAAAGCACUGCCUGCCUGCAUCCCAUCAGACUUAACUACAGUGCAAUGACUUUCAUUCUCUCUCUUCUAGCUGCAUACAGAUCACACCCUACCGCUCUUUUCUGGGAGCAAUGAAAAAAAGUAUUGGAUUUUCUCUUUUUUCAGGCCUAUCUACCCUGGCUUUUACUAUGCCAUAUUACUGUAAUGUAUAUCAACAAUGCUGAGUACUCUGGUCAUUCUGACUCAAGCAGGCUAUACUGUUCAGCCCUUCCCCUGAAACACUGUUCCUAACCAACCCACGGCUCGCGGUGAUCUGUCCCUCCACAUUAGACAUGCUAUUUCACCUUUCCCUCUAAUUAGGUUGUAAUGGUAACUCUUUACAUUAACACCAACCGAGUGAAAAAUCGUCAGCAUAAUCAUUUGGACCAAAUUACUUUGGGCAUGGUCGUCUGAAUGCUCUUUGAUGACAGAAGGUAGAUUAGAGAGAGUUAUGUUUGAAAGGGCUCCCUGGCAAGGCUUUCGACAGCUGACCUGGCACGGACACAGGAUCCAGGAAGCAGGAUAAAACCCUCCGUAUCAUAGCUACUCUAGGUAUUAAUGUUUGAUAUUUGAGUGGUGUGGGUAUAUAUUAUUUCAAACAUCAGUAUAUAUAAAAAAAAAAAAAAAGGUUUCAGUUGUUGCUCCAGGCACAAAAGCUAGUGAGCAAAUAGCAGGUUGAAAUGGGUAGCAACCAAGCAACAUUUGUGUUGAAAAGCCGCGAGUUCCUCCAUUGCAGCCGCCUGCUGAGUGGUCUGUGUUAUUGUACUUCAGCUUUCAGCAUGUAAUUGUAUCUCAACAAUCUUUUCAGAGGCUGCCUUUUUCCUCAAAAUAACCUGCUCAAAAAAAUAAAAAAAAUUCACUACAGUAUUACAGCCGGGACACCUGCAAAGCAUAGAGUAUUGUUCAGAAGUGAAAGGAGGCGAAUUGGUGGAGCAGAGUAGUUCUUUCGAAUCAAAUCAUGCCCAUUGAAGAAACUGUGCCAGCUUUGGUCUUGGGUCGUCUCAACUUGCCUUCAAAAACACAGUAAAAAAAUAAAAAAAUAAAUCACACUCAGCCUUUAGAUGUUCUGAAGUCAGCCAAACAAGCCGGGGCCAGGAAGUCCCAGGAAACAAUGUGUAGGUCAAGCAAAGAGGGUAAGAAGAAACACAUGUCUGCACAGCAGCCAUUUUGAGCUCAUCAUUUACUUAGUGCUCAGUUAUUGAAUGGGAAACCUAGUGUUCCAUGAGCCUUGUCUCCUAUGGUUGUUUCUCUGCUGGCUCAAGACUGGUUCUGUGACCCCCACACCGAGCCCUCCGGGCCGCUUCGUUAGCCUCUCUCGUCUUUCUGUAGAACCAGAUAUAUGCUGCACACCCACAGAAUGUACUUAGAGCAAGGUCGUAUUCAACCCAGGUCCAGUCUCCUGGCCAGUCCUCUGUUCACUGCUUGACUAACAGUGCCGUGCUCGUACAGGGAGCUGCCAAAGCAUGCUCUGAAGGCUAAAUUAGGCGAUGUUAAAUCAGAGAGUUGUUUGAACAAGGGUGCUCUUAUUGCUCUCCCACCCAGGGGAGGGUGUUAUUGUCAUGACAUGCAGUGAAACCAGAAAUAGCUGUUGUGAAGCCAGCCUCUGGAACAUCGGAAAUGUGAAGUGGGUUUGAUUACAUCUCUUAUUGAAUCUCAGCGCAGCUCUGGCCAUGUCUGCCCUUUAGUCCAUGCACAGGCUGCCUGUAUACUGUUAUCUUAGGAGUGAAUCGUUAUUCACACGAUGCGUUUAAUGGCUGCAAUUGGAUGUUGUGCUGACUGACAUCCCACUGCUCAUAUUUGAAAGAGAAAAAUUCAGUAUUGAAAUUGUUGUUUUAUGCUGCUAAUGUGUUUGAGUGACUUAUGGGAAAUUCUUCAAAAAUCAUGACUAAUUAAAUUGUAAUGCCAUCAAAAGAUAUUUAUGGUUAUAUGUUGAUGGCAAAGAUCACUUUAAUGUGACCUUUGAAUGUACUGUAGCAUUAACACCUCUGAGAUAAUUAUUCCCAUUUGGUAACCACAUGUUAUUCUGCCUCUAUUGACAUGUCAGACUUCAUAGGGAGUUAGCAACCUUAGAGCUCCGAGGCUGACAGAGAGGCUGGGUAACCAAUCCUAAAGGCCAGAGAGGUUGACAGAAAGGCUACAUGACCAAUCAUCUGAGUUCUGAGUCUGGCAGUUCAAUAACCAAUCAUAGCGGGCAAAGAGAGAACUGCUGUAGCAUGUCUGCCAGCCCCUGGGUGUAGAGAGCACUCACCCUAAAAUAGCAGUGAUUGUCAAGGAAAGGAAGUGAACUGUAAUUGACUGAAAGUGGAGAGAUAAUUAAAGGAACCUGUUGGACAGGAGGGAGAAAUUAAUGCCUCUCAUUUAAUAGCUGCUUUGGGAGAAGAGGAGAGCUUUUCCCUCAUCUCAAACAGCUAACGCAAAAAGGGUUUUUGGCCAUGGAAAUGGGAUUUCAGCUGAAACGGAAAGUGAAGUGGGUUUGGGGGGAUGGAGUGGGGGAGGUGAGCACUAAACCGAAACUCCACAAAAUCUCUUUUAUACUCAGGGCAUCAGGCGCUAUGAUGUCAGGAUUAGUGGAGACUUUCAGAGCCUUGCCUUCCCCAUGGGGAGCAGUGGCUGAGCGGUCACCCAGAGAGAUGGAGAGGUUAGUGGGAGCGUGUUGGGCCUCGGCCGAUGACACUGUGGGUCUCUGUAUGAACCAGAGAGAGGAUCACAGUCAGUCAGCCAGCUAGUCAGUCAGACGGGGGGGGGGGGGGGGGGUACAAUUUGUCUAAAGCAGAACAGUGGCACAGGAACAUGAAAACAAUAAUGCCUUGAAAAUAUCAGGUCAUCGAGCAAAAAAAGGCUUUGAUCCUAUCAUAAACAACAUAAAUAGCAGUGAAUCAGAGGAAAGAGUGCAAUCAUGUUUGACAACAAAGCUGGAGAUUAAAAUCCCAAAUGAUGAAGACAAAUACUUUUUUAUUAUUUCAUGUAAAUAAAAAAGAAAAGAAUCAAAGGUAGCAGGCAGUAGGUACUGCCCAGCAUGCAGAGAUGUCUGCAGUAGUUACCCAGCUGAAUGGGAUAUUGAUGUCACUAUAAAACGUAUCCACAACAGCCCAGGGAUUCUUUAGAAGGUGGGGCAUUUUAACGCUUUUUGGUUAGUGUGUCAACAUGAUUGUAUAGGCUCAAUACCAGGAGUGUCAGACAGAUGGCCCAUGGGUCCAGUCUGCUAAUAGAGUGGCUUGAGUAAAAAUUGAAAGUCAAUAAAAUUAAAAAUGUCUAAAAACAUUGAAACUUAGAAGAAAUUCUAAUGGACCUGCAUUCACAGUUUUUUUUUUUUUUUUGUACUGUGUCCAGCUAAUGAUCACCGAAAUUAAAGCCAGACAGUCGGGGAGAAUUUCCAAAAACUAUGGAUAGAGGACUAUUUUAGCAAAUGUUAACGUUGAGACAUUUUCAGUACGGCCCCCAGGACCUCAUUGAAGGUCAAAUGCUGCCCCUAGGGCAAAAUGUGUUUGACAGCCCUGGUCUAUCCUCUAAGCAUAACAGGGAAAGAGUAUAGCUGAGGUCUGACUCUAGAUGAUUUAAUAGCACCAAAACUUCACCCUGGAGCGAGGCAUUCAUUAGAAUUCUGUUUACACUGUCACAUCAUGAUAUUUCUGACAGCUGAAAGAUUGCCUGUGCACUAGCUAAUUGGAUUAGUCCAAUCGGAGCUGAUGAGAUGGAGAGAUGUGACCUCGAUGUGGUGAAGAGCGGGCACGCCCCUCAGUCUGCUCCCCCGCCGCGCGUUGCAGGGGAGCAGGUGAUAGUGACAGCAGCCGUUAGCUUGCCAGUCGCUAGCUAUGUAGUUUGCCACUGGGGCUGGGCGCCGCCUGCCAGUCACCGCCACCUUUCACAGGGCCACUGGGG